UGUAAAACAAUAGUACAGAAGUACAGAAGUCGAUAAAAAGAAAUAUAAAAAAGUCAAAAUAAAAAUAAAUCAGGUACAUAAAACUGACACGUUUCAAACCAAAAGAUAAUUCAACUCAAUUAUCGUGAUGAAAAGAUAGUGGGAAACAAAUUCCUAAUUGAAUUAAAUUAAAUGCUCCUCAAAUUUAUUGAUAACUUCAAAGCUCUGCUUCAAAAUUAGUUUUGUCCGAGUUUAGCAACAUGAAGCAAUGUAGGUCAAAGAAUUGAGCCCUGAGGGACUCCAGAAGAACGUGGGUAUGUCUGGGAGUGAUGGCCAACAACAUUGAUGGUAAAAAUUAAGAGCAACUUUAAUGGUAAGAAACUGACAAGAUAUACUAAAAAAAUGAAUCGAGCAGAAGAAUCAAAGGUGUGACAAACUAUGUUAUAAGCUUCUGAAAAGGCUCAAGACAAUUGAUUUAGCUCCACCACUGUAACCCAGUUCAUUGAGAAAGGAAUCACCAUAAAGCUAAUGGAAUUAAUUUACCAUAUUCAUCUUGGAAUAAACAAAUCUGCUCCAAUGCCAUAAUAGCUGUGGAAUGUUUAUCAAGAUUCUUGCAAGACUACUAUAAAAAUACAUCAUUUGACAAUUACAUAGUGACAUUAUAAUUUAAUUUUUGAAUUGUUUUUGGAAGAAAAAAAUAAGUGCAAGCAGUUCAGACUUUUACUUUCCUUAAAAAUCAGUUCAAUUUUAGUUAAAAGCAGGCUAAAUUAGUAUCAGUAUUUCAAGUGUUGAGGACAAUUCCUUUAAUUAACAAGAAAAUAUGUGGGUAUACAACAUUCUAUUCAUAUGAAACAAUAAGUCGAGUAGUCGACCUAAAGAAAAAUAAAAAAGUCAUCCAUAAUUUCGAGUUUUUAAACUAACAAAAAUGUCAGGGUGAGUAUAGAAAAAAUUCACAUCAGAUGGUUCAAAACUAAUAGAAAAUUUAAAGCAGUUAUCAUGAGCAGAAGACAGGUUCAAACAUAUACACAAGAUCUCCAAUGUUAUUAUAAUACCCACUGCAAGUAAGGGAUUCUCAAAUUGAUUGAUUGCUUCAAAGCUCUGAUUCAUGAUAAUCAUGCCACUAUGUCAUAGUAAGUUUGUCACAUAUUCUGACAGUAUAAUGAACAAAAAGAAUCAUAUUUCCUCCAACAAGCUUUCAACACUAAAAUUCAACAAGGCUCAUAAGGAUAACAUAUACCCAGAAUACAAUGCUACAAAAAAUCGCAAUCAUAUUUGCUAGGCAGACAAACGUGCAAAGUAUGUAUGUAUAUUGAUUUUCAUGGUCAGUAAAAAUGGGUUUUAUGAUAACAAUUCAAGACUAUUCUCAAAAUUUAAUGCUUACAACAAUACAGUUAAUGACAGAAUAGAUAAAAUUGAGUUAACGUAUAACAAAAAUCGAUUUAUACUAAUAUUUAUCUACUGAAAGUUUUAUCAGAGUUUACUACUGUCUAGAAUUUUGAAAUCAUAUUUUGCGAUAGAAUUUGACUGUCAGGUUUUCAGUACCCGUAGAGGAAAAUAUGAAAAGUUCCCGUUUAAUUCACAACCUUUUUAUCAAGUGACUCAAAUUUAAAACAAAAUUAACUUUGUAAAAUAUUGAGACAAGCAAAAUUAAAGAAUAUUUUUUAUAAUUUUAACAUUACAUCAAAUUUACCAGAAAUCACUUCAAAGUGAGAAAGCCAUAUUUGUUUGCCACCAUGACUUUUCAAAUCAAAUUGUGGCUUUACUUAUGCAAAAUUGAUGCUACCAAAUUUUAACUCUGUGAUACUUAUCACAUAUACAAUUGAGUAACAAUUCAAUGCAAAACAAACAACGAAAUUUACCAGAGAAUAAAGUCUCUAACUUUUAAGGUAUUUUAGAAAAAAACUAGUGACCCAAAGAAAUUUUUGGGGGACCAUAAGUUGGGAAAGACUGCUGUUAUCACACUUUGUAAGCUACCUCAGUUGUUUUUAUUGUACAAUGUAUUCUCAGAAAAAAGCUGAUGUCAUGUAUUUAGGAUUACGAUUGUUUUAAGACAUUGAUUAUCGAAGCCUAUAAAACUGUCAGAAGCAGAGACUUGUCACAAACAGUUUAAAGCAGAUUGUGUGGGAUACAGGUUGAUGUUUUUAUGCUACCAAGUAACCACUAACAGGCAUAAUAUCAUUUGUGUAUUCAUAUACACUCAUAUACACUAAGUUUGUCACACUUGAGUACUAGCUGCAAUGUCAACAGAAUAGAAUAAUAUUUCAAUUCUAUUAGUUUCAGAAACAUGUGAAUGUAGAUGAAACCACAUGAUAUUCAAUAGAAAUCUUCAAAUUAUUCUCAGAAAUACUAGAAACUGCUGUGAUGAUAAUUGGCAACAAUUAAUUCUUAUUCCAGUGUUCUUCUUUGAAAUACAUUCAACUAGGAUAGAAAGAAGAUGUUCAUCCUGAAAAGAGGCAGGUUUACUUUGCUAUUGUUGUUGAUUCAAAGUUUCGAAUUCAUUCAGACUAAACACUGCAAGAUUCCAGAAGAUAAUGAAGAUAUUGACUGGGAUAAAUUUUCUGGUGACUGGUAUCAGGUUCUAAAUACUAACGACGCAGUGAUGGGAAAGGAUGUAGGUGGUGCAAAACAACAGAAUUUUACCGAAACAAGAACAGGAAUGAGUGUGAUGAUUACAGAACCGCAUGAGAAUUCCCCUCCACUAACUUUUACAGUCCACUAUACAAAGAAGAGAGAAGGUAUCUACAGAUUGGCAAAGGAUGAUGGUAUAAAUUGAUUGAAUUAAUUUUUCAAUUAAAAUUGAAGGUAGUAAAUAAUAUUUCAGUAAUAAAAACGAAAAUAAUUUAAAUUUUCAAACAGAAACAGCUGUUCUAGCAUCUCACGCCUUAACACCAGACGACGGAAGAAGCGCAGAUGCAGCAAAAUUAGAUGAUGCAAUGUUCAGUGGUGAUGUUUUGAUUUUGAGUGAUGGGAAGAACUAUUUAAUACAUGCAUUCUGCGGUUUUUCAGACGAAUGGGUUGUCUGGGCGAACUUUCCAACUAUGAAUCCAACAAUUCAUCAAGUCAUCUUGAUGUGGAACAAACUCAUGGAAGAGGAAAUCAAUGUACAACUUCAUCUUUCAGAAGCGAUUGAACAUCCAGAGAAUUUCAAUUUAUGAAAAUCCUAUAUAAACUGCGUAUAUUAUAAUUGGUUUUAAUUGAUAAAAAUUCUAUAUUGAUUAUGUAUAUAUAACUAUAAAUAUCAUGUAUUUAUCUACUUCAAUACCUUUUUCAAAAGUAAUUGAUCAAUGGCAACAAUUGUAAAAGUUUGUUUUUUAUAUGAUCAUUUGCUUUUAGCAGGAUAGGAUAGGAUUUACAUAUUUAUCCCGGGGAGAGGAAAAUCGAUAAGACGACUUAAUCAUAUGGCGAACCACGGUCUCUCGUCCGGUUACCAGUCCAGGUCGGGUAUGGGAUUAGAAUAGAAAAGCUUGGGUAGGCCUAUAUUUAUGUGCCAUUUCAAAACCAAGAUUUUGUGUCAACUGACUGCUCACUUUGAGAAACUCAACAUAUAACAUAUGUGUCUGUCAUACAUGAAGUAACCACCAUGUUGUGCUUUUUAUUAAUAAAAACCAAAGACCAAUAGAUAGUGUUGCAAAGUAAAAUAUGCCGGUAUCAAAAGUUAUCUUAUGAAAUUGAAUUGACCCGCAGAUAGGCAAAAUCUAAUUUGCCAAAAUUUUCAACCCAAUAGCACCAAAG